rnacentral:rRNA from 1 species
UACGGAGGGGGUUAGCGUUGUUCGGAAUUACUGGGCGUAAAGCGCGCGUAGGCGGACCAGAAAGUUGGGGGUGAAAUCCCGGGGCUCAACCUCGGAACUGCCUCCAAAACUGCUAGUCUAGAGUUCGAGAGAGGUGAGUGGAAUUCCGAGUGUAGAGGUGAAAUUCGUAGAUAUUCGGAGGAACACCAGUGGCGAAGGCGGCUCACUGGCUCGAUACUGACGCUGAGGUGCGAAAGUGUGGGGAGCAAACAGG